AGUGGGGAAUUUUCCGCAAUGGGCGAAAGCCUGACGGAGCAAUACCGCGUGAGGGACGAAGGCCUGUGGGUUGUAAACCUCUUUUGUUAGGGAAGAUAAUGACGGUACCUAACGAAUAAGCAUCGGCUAACUCCGUGCCAGCAGCCGCGGUAAGACGGAGGAUGCAAGCGUUAUCCGGAAUUAUUGGGCGUAAAGCGUACGUAGGCUGUUUGAUAAGUCUGUUGUCAAAGCGCGAGGCUCAACCUUGUAAAGGCAAUGGAAACUGUGAGACUAGAGAGAGAUAGGGGCAGGAGGAAUUCCAGGUGUAGCGGUGAAAUGCGUAGAUAUCUGGAAGAACACCAGUGGCGAAAGCGUCCUGCUGGAUCUCAACUGACGCUGAAGUACGAAAGCUAGGGGAGCGAAUGGGAUUAGAUACCCCAGUAGUCCUAGCCGUAAACGAUGGGUACUAGGUGUUGGCCGUAUCGAC
rnacentral:rRNA from 1 species